rnacentral:rRNA from 1 species
CCUACGGGAGGCUGCAGUAGGGAAUCUUCCACAAUGGGCGAAAGCCUGAUGCAGCAACGCCGCGUGGGUGAAGAAGGUCUUCGGAUCGUAAAACCCUGUCGUUAGAGAAGAAAGUGCGUGAGAGUAACUAUUCACGUUUUGACGGUAUCUACACAGAAAGCAACGGCUAACUACGUGCCAGCAGCCGCGGUAAUACGGAGGUGGCAAGCGUUAUCCGGAUUUAUUGGGCGUAAAGGGAACGCAGGCGGUCUUUUAAGUCUGAUGUGAAAGCCCUCGGCUUAACCGGGGUAUUGCAUUGGAAACUGGGAGACUUGAGUGCAUAAGAGGAGAGUGGAACUCCAUGUGUAGCGGUGAAAUGCGUAGAUAUAUGGAAGAACACCAGUGGCGAAGGCGGCUCUCUGG